AUAAUAAAGAAAAAAAUUUUAUGUCAUAAAUUUAUAAUAUAUGUACAUACAUAAAUAUAUCUAAAUAAUACUAUAAAUAUAUUGUUCGUGUUUGUACAUACAUAUACGCCGAUACAUUUUAAAUGCUAUAUACCUAGAGAUUAAUUAAAUUUGUGGCACAUAAAUUGAUAAAAAUUUUGAUUUAAAUUCGUAUUAAGUAAAAAUAACAAAAAAGAAUAAAAAAAUUACAUAAAAAUUUAAAACUCACAUAAGAUAAUAUAGGAAAAAAAAUUUGCUAUUAUAAACUUAUCUAAAUAUAAUAUAUGUACAUAUACAUAUGCACAUAAAUUUGCAAAAAAAAAGGAAAAAUACAACAUUAAAAAAAAGAUAUUUAAUUAAAAUUCUUUUCCAAAUAAAAAUAAUAAAAUUAAUAAAAAUAAAAUAUUUAUAAUUGAAAUCAUAUUUUUUGUAAAAUAAAUUUUGCACCAACAACAACAACAAAAAUUGUUAAUAAAUUUUUACCAAUAAAAAAUUUAUAAAAAUUCGAAAAAAAAUGAGAAAUUAAAAUUGGAAAAAAUUAAAGUGCAUAAAAAUAUGAAUAAUUACAUAAAAAUAUCAAUUAAUAAUAAUAAUAAUAAUAAUAUUAUUUAAUAUAUAGAAUAAUAUUAAAAAUAUUAAUAAUUGAAUUGAUGACACAUUUUUGUUUUUUUUUUAUUCGCUCAUUUUUAAAUUUGCCCUACAGCAAUAAAAUUUAUAAUUUUGAUAAUUUUAAAAAAAAAUUCAUAAUAAUAAAUUCAACAGAGCAAAAAAAUAAAUAUUUCCAAAAUUAUUCAAUUAAAAAUAAUUUUAUUUGUGAAAAAAAAGAGAAAAAAAAUUAGAUUUAAACUAACAAGUAAAAUUCUUUAUAAAAUUAAAUAAAUUAAUGAAAAAAAAUAAAAUCACAAAAAAAAAGGAAAAUUGUGUAUAUGAAUAAUAAAUUAAAGUAAAUUUUUUUUUAUUAAUAAAAAAUAUUUCAGAUAUAAUUAAAAGAUUUUAACAAAAAUAUUAAAUACAGUGACAUUAAAGUGAUUUCUUCUGUUAAUGAUUUAUGACAAACGUACAACCCCAAAAUUAACCGCCGUCAAAAGAUAAAAACAAGUAAAACGGAAAGUAAAAAGGAAAACAAAAGAGAAAAAUAAUUAUUCCUCUAAAUUUUUUUCAUUUAUUUUUCUCAUAUGUUACAAUAGAUAGAUACAAAAAUUAAGUAUAUACAUGUAUGUAUGUAUAUAUUAAUAAAAUUGGCUGCACAUAUAUAAAAUUCAUUAUAAUUAAAUGUACAUGGUUGUAUAAAUAUAUAAAUUAAUUAAUUAUAUUAAUAAGUGUGCGUGUGUCAAUUUUGAUGUUUAUUGUGAAAAUUAAGAAUAGUCAUAAUACUCAUUUAAACAAACAAACAUACGUAUGCUCGUGUAUCUGUUAAAUGCUUUCUUUAUUUUGAACUUAGAAUACUAAAAAGAAGAAAAUAAUUUAAGUAAACUAUUAUAUUGAAAAAAAAAAAAUAAAUUAAUAAUAUAAAUGAAUAAAAGUUACAGUGAAAGGCAAAAAUUACAUAAAGAAUUUAAAUAAAAAUUAAAAAUAAGAGUAAUAAUUUAAGUGUAAGAGCAUAGCCUUUCGGAACUAACAGUAAACAAAGAAACAAUCUGUUAAACGUUAAAUAGAAAACGUCUUUUAAAAAAAUACUAGAGCAAGGGUUAUCCGUGUAAAGUGUGGUAUCAAAUUUUGUUGUCUAAAGUUGCAGUCGUAAAGUUACGACAACAUAUUGAGCUGAGAAAAAAUAUUCAUAAAAUUUAAUAAUAUACGUACGUUGAUCAUUAUGAAUUGAGACCAGCCCAUAACUAGAUUCACAAAAGAAGCGAAACCUUUCUGAUAAAAAUUAAGGUAAAUCAUUGAUGGUCAAAUGCAAAUCUAAAUAUA